rnacentral:snoRNA from 1 species
AUGCAUCUGACAGACCUGGAGCAGUUAAUGUCUGCUGUUAAGGUUUCCACUACAGAUGCAAGAAAAAGAAGGUCCUUGCACUUUCUGUCUUUCUGGUUGUGGCAACCAAGAUUGAAUGUGGGAGUAUGGGA